CCAAUCGACUUCAUGUAGUCAUCGAAAUUCUUGCUGUCCACCAGCUUCCAGGUGCCCACGAAAGCGUCCACCAUGGUGAGGAUGGGCUAGGCGAGGGCUCUGAGAACGCAGAACAGGCGUGCCAGGACUCCGGGACCCGCGGUUCCCGGCCCGCGCUGCCGCUUUAAAUAGCCCUUGCAUCACGUGGUGAGGCGUGGCCCACACCCCCAGCUCCCGAAAUAGGAAGCCUCAGGCUAGCGCUCCGCAGCCAGGAGCAGGCUGCCCAUCCCCCACGGCGCGGCCGGCCGGGGGAGGGGGCAGCUGGUGGCGCCCGCCUCUCCCGCGGCAGCGCGAGGGGCCCCGGUCUCUGAGUCCCGGCCCCACGCUGGCGGGACCGCUCCCUUCCCUGGCCUCAAGGCGCUGGUCGCAGUCUGAGACGGAAGCCGCUGAGGGCGCGGUGCCCGCGAGGUGGGGCGCGCGCCUCGGACAGCUUCGUCCCCCCAGUGACUCUCGGAGUUGGGGUUAGAGCAGGGAGGAGAGACUAGAGGAGACAGGAAACUCGCCCUUGGGCUGAUGCCCAGGCCGGGAAAGCUCCGGCUGACCCUUCGCGGCGCAGGCGGCUUGGCCCCCGCUUUGCAGGUCCAGCUGUGGAUACAACAUCUGGCAGGCAGCAGGACCAGUCCCCGCCAAGAGCAGCAUCUCCGCAGCCCUGGCCCUGUGGUGAUGUCACUGUUCUGUGUCUCCACGGCAACCACAGGCUGGGAAGAUGGAGAAGAGGAGAGCUGAGUAACCAGGAGAGAGCCAAUGAGAGGGGCCAGCUGCACCGGAUGAUCCGGCGGUUUUCCCAGAGAUGCACGUGAAUGAGCCAAGGCCCUUGGAGACAUUGAACCGAUAGCAAAGGAUCCAGGUGUAUCUGUCCCCUCACUGAGGCCAUUCAGUGCCUUCAGAGACUGCAGACAAGUCUCCACAUCUCUCCCUUUCUCUCUAAAUAAUUCAUGCAUUUCACUAGUCUUAACUGAGGAUCUCCUGCUCCCAGACACUGUGGUGGGCUCAGUGGGUCCCAGGGGAAACGGGAGAGCCACAGCCCACAUCCUCCCUGAGCUCACCAUGCAGGGGGAUCCAGCAGUGGCUGGAAUGCCGUGUCCUUUCUGCCACUAAGAAAUCACUUCCUGGUUCCCCAAGAGUUCUAGAUACUAUGGGUCUGAGAGAAUAAAUGAUGGCCAAAGAUAGGGAUUUCCUCAACACCAGUUGCUUCUGAGAAACUGCUGCCUGUGGCACAGGCUCCCUGGAAGGAGAACAAUGACUCUCUCUGCCCAGAGAGGAGAGGGGGCAGCUCAGGGUGGCUGGGCAAUCACCUCGGCUUUCCCGGAAGCCAGCCGCCCUGCCUGUUGGCAGAAUAAAGCCCAGACUCUUC